GGUUGUUCUCCAGUGACCCACCCUGGAAUCGGGCUCCCUCCUCUCUAGUUCUGGGGCGUGUCACCCGAGAACCACU
rfam:Myotis davidii contig176842, whole genome shotgun sequence.